CCUUGACGAAAUCAAACCAGCAAAUCAGAAAGACAGCCUGCUGCUACCGUUGUUAUCAUAUUAACCCCAUACCGAAAAAGCUCAGAGAUAUAAAGGCUGUUUAAGAUGUGCUUGUCUCUACAUACCCUGUGUCUGGUGUGAACAUGUACAAUUGAAUGUCUCUACAUACUCCAUGUCUGCUGUGAACAUGUACAAUUGAAGGUCUCUACAUACUCCAUGUCUGGUGUGAACAUGUACAAUUGAAGGUCUCUACAUACCUCAUGUCUGGUGUGAACAUGUACAAUUGAAGGUCUCUACAUGCCCCAUGUCUGGUGUGAACAUGUACAAUUGAAGGUCUCUACAUACCUCAUGUCUGGUGUGAACAUGUACAAUUGAAGGUCUCUACAUACCUCAUGUCUGGUGUGAACAUGUACAAUUGAAGGUCUCUACGUACCCCAUGUCCGGUGUGAACAUGUACAAUUGAAGGUCUCUACAUACCUCAUGUCUGGUGUGAACAUGUACAAUUGAAGGUCUCUACAUACUCCAUGUCUGGUGUGAACAUGUACAAUUAAAGGUCUCUGCAUACUCCAUGUCUGGUGUGAACAUGUACAAUUGAAGGUCUCUACAUACUCCAUGUCUGGUGUGAACAUGUACAAUUGAAGGUCUCUACAUACCCCAUGUCUGGUGUGAACAUGUACAAUUGAAGGUCUCUGCAUACUCCAUGUCUGGUGUGAACAUGUACAAUUGAAGGUCUCUGCAUACUCCAUGUCUGGUGUGAACAUGUACAAUUGAAGGUCUCUACAUACCUCAUGUCUGGUGUGAACAUGUACAAUUGAAGGUCUCUACAUACCCCAUGUCUGGUAUGAACAUGUACAAUUGAAGGUCUCUACAUACUCCAUGUCUGGUGUGAACAUGUACAAUUGAAGGUCUCUACAUACUCCAUGUCUGGUGUGAACAUGUGCAAUUGAAGGUCUCUACAUACCCCAUGUCUGGUGUGAACAUGUACAAUUGAAGGUCUCUACAUACCCCAUGUCUGGUGUGAACAUGUACAAUUGAAGGUCUCUACAUACCCGAUGUCUGGUGUGAACAUGUACAAUUGAAGGUCUCUACAUACCUCAUGUCUGGUGUGAACAUGUACAAUUGAAGGUCUCUACAUACUCCAUGUCUGGUGUGAACAUGUACAAUUGAAGGUCUCUACAUACCCCAUGACUGGUGUGAACAUGUACAAUUGAAGGUCUCUACUUACCCCAUGUCUGGUGAAAACAUGUACAAUUGAAGGUCUCUUCAUACCCCAUGUCUGGUGUGAACAUGUACAAUUGAAGGUCUCUACAUACCCCAUGUCUGGUGUGAACAUGUACAAUUGAAGGUCUCAUCUUUGAAAUUGGGACACGUGGACAAUUAGUGACUUGAUUCAGACAGAAAUCGCAUAGUGACAAAUCACAACAAAAAUUGGAAAGCCAGAAAGUCUUGUGGCCAGCAAUGCUUUCAUGUGACCAUCCAAGUUGUGUUCAAAGAAAAACAAUAGUUCAUGUUUUAUUGGAACUAUGAUGCUGUCAGUCAUUUUAUGUUGAAGGCAUUAAAUAACUAUAUUUAAAUAUAAUAAGAUUAAGAUUACUUGAUAAAAGCAAUAAUGUAAAAUAGUAUUUUAAGCGCAAAAUUAACAAGUCUAUCCAAUUACUGUGUCUGUAUAAUGACAUUUUAUUUUGGAAAUGUUAAGGAAAAUAUAAUGUUAGUAAAUAUAUGUCUAUGAAUGUUGAUUUUAACAUUUGUCAAAGCUGUUUAAAUGAUGCUGGUAACUUUGACAAAAUUUAAAGAAAUGUAUUAUUUUCAUAUUAUGAGACAUGCUUCAGUUUUUUGUUGCUUAACCUGUAAUAUAGAGGUGGUAGUUACAAGAAUUGUUUAGCCAGAUGGAGAAUGUUGAUGCUAUGACUUUGAUACUCUUAAGUGUGCCCAUUGGUGUCAGGUUUUUAUCAAGAAUAUUGUUUAUUGUCUUACUAUUUCUUGAAAAUAUUGAUUAAUUUUAGACAAAAUCAUUUAAUCUUCCUUAAAUUGUCUAUUAUGUAUUUACGACCAGUUAUUUAUUAAUUUGCAUGAAUAUGAUUUAAGAAUGACUUUUGUGUUGCUUAAAAUGCUCUAUUUGUUUUGAAACUUUGUAUUUAAAAACGAAAAUAUGAGGUGUAGGAAUAAUGGGCAAAGUUAUGAUAAUUAUUUUUUUGUUUUUGUAAAGUUUAUUAUGGUUUAUAUGUUUGUGUAUAGGCAUUUAGACGACCAGAUUAACUUGACCAAUAAUUAGUGAUCACUGUAUAUAUCGGUCAGUACAUUUGUCACUUGUAUAUAGAGCGAUUGCGAAAUGAUUGUAUUUGCAAUGUAAAUCAUGCGUUUAUUGUUGCCAUUUUGAUUUUCACUGUUAACAUUUAUUUGUACUAACAAUUUUCAUCAUGUACAUCUUUUAGGUGCCAGAUAAUAAAAAAACAUUGCUUGUGGGAAUGCUCAUUUAAAACUUUCUUAAUGAUACAGAACAACACAUUCUGAAGAGGCAAAUAUCCUUUAGACAAGAGGAACAUCUUGUUACUAGUAUAUGUAAUGCUUUUCAUUAAAUAAAGUUAAGCAACUAUUGAAAGAUUGGUAUAACUUUGUUUUGCAUUAUCUUAAGAAAAAUUAAUAUAUACUACUUGGAAAUCAGUCAAUUGCAAAUCAAGCGAGAGUGAUUUAACAUGCUAACACUUGUCAAUAAUUGAAUUGUCUCUCUUUGUACGUAAGAUAUAGGGAUGUUGUUGCUUGAAAAACAAAGUUGUAUCCGUUGUUAGAUAAUGUUUUUGUUCAUCUCUCAACAUAACAAGUACAUUCAUACAGUUAUUAAAUAUAUGACACUCUUUAUUCUCAGCUAUCAGUUUGUAUUGGGAUUUUGUGGAAUACUUACUAAACUAAUAUACGUCUGUUUAAUGAAUUAAUAGCUAUGGUACAAUAUGAUACUCAGUGUUACAUAACAUGUGUAAUAAAAAUAUAAUGUCAUUUAUUUCAAAUCAUAAAAUUUAGUUGUCCAUACAAUUCUUACAGUUUUGCAAUUGCGACGAUAAAGGAAAUGUUCUGCUCAAAAUGUCUUUUUAAGACAUGUGAAAAUUGUAGCAAUCAUAUUGUACUUGUAUUUAUAUUAUACAUUAUAAGAAUAUACUAUAUAUACAGCUGAUGAUAGCGGCAGUUUACUAUUUGUGUAACAGUUUGUUCCACUCGACCAUUAGACCAUAUUUCCUUAAAAAUGUGAUUGUUAAUAUUGAACUGUAAUUGAAUGCAUGAAACAUAAUUGUUCUGUUGCUUAACAGCUGAAAAUAGCUUGAUGUUUGUUAAUUGUGUGAAAUGUUUCAAAUAAAUCAUAUUGAUUCAUAGAAAAUAAAAUUACAUUUUGCGUAUUGCGCAUUUGAAUGCAUAACAAACAAUUGUUACCAUACACUCAUAUUAGUAUUGAACUUAAUUAAUACUUUAAGAUGUAAUUUUUACAAUAAUGUGUUAAUAUUGUCAUCCAUUCCAAAUAAGCAUUGUGCAUUCGUAAAUAUAGGGUGUAUAUACACUGCUUAGAUGCCUUUUUUAAAUUGCUUGUGCACAUCAUAUUGAUUAAAGGGAUCUUUUCACGCUUUGGUAAAUUGACAAAAUUGAAAAAAGUUGUUUCAGAUUCGUAAGUUUUCGUUUUAGUUAUGAUAUUUGUGAGGAAACAGUAAUACUGAACAUUAACCAUGCUCUAAUAUAGCCAUUAUAUGCAUCUUUUGACGAUUUUAAAACCUAAAAAUUAUAAAGCGUUGCAACGCGAAACGAUUGAAUAAUUUGGAGAGUUCUGUUUUUGUCGUUAAAUUUUGUGAAACUACGAAGAUUGCUUAUAUAAUGUAUAAAAUACGUCAGGAAUUUGUACUCGGCGGAAUAGCUCAGUAGGCUAAAGCGUUUUUACUUCAGGACUCUGGCAGGACUCCAGAGGUCACUGGUUCGAAACCUGCUCCGGGCAAUGUUCUUUUCAUUUUUUUAUUUUUUUUUCUUGAUUUUUUACUGGAGCUUUUAUGAUCCAAUGUUUACAUUUAUCAAUAUAAAGCAUUUAAUGAAUAAGUUAAAAAAAUGCCAAAAUCUGUGAAAAGGCCCCUUUAAAGACUCUUAUGUAUUGCAUAUUUGUGUGUGCCAAUGUCUUACUUAUUUCUUCACAGUCCUUAAAUUACUGCAAAUAGUACUUUAAGAAUGUUAAAAUAUUUAUCUUAACUAUAUCCAGGUUAUCUGUUAAUUUAAGUUUCAUACAUAAUAUUUAGUGCUAAUAAAUCAACACUAUUUAUUGAUUUUUUAUAUGGGCACUUCCCAUGACUUUAUUCGUGAAUAUUUCUUUGAAUGUGCGGUAGGGAAAACAUUGUUUGCUUGAAGGUUAGAAACUUAAUGUUGACAUCUUGAAAGAUGGCAGUAAACAUUUAACUGCAGAGUAGCUGGGAAAAAGAUUGCUGUUAAACAAUGUUAGACAGAACUCCACGCAAGAUAUGUCAUGCAUGCGAUAUGCAUGAACUAUCUUUUUAAAAUAAUUUGGAUCUGAAUUAUCUUUAAGAAAUGGUAUGGUUAUGAGGGUCUCUAUGUGCAAAAUGUUGCAUUUAUUUAGUGUACAAGUUAUUGCUUAAACAUUGAAUUUGUUAUGGAAAUAAUAUAGUGUAUGUGACUUAAAGAGAUAUACAUGUU